AACGAACGCUGGCGGCAUGCCUAACACAUGCAAGUCGAACGAUUGCCUUCGGGUGAUUGUGGCUCACGGGUGCGUAACGCGUGGGAAUCUGCCCUUAGGUUCGGAAUAACAGCUGGGAACGGCUGCUAAUACCGGAUGAUAUCGCGAGAUCAAAGAUUUCUCGCCUGAGGAUGAGCCCGGGUUUGAUUAGCUAGGUGGUGGGGUAAAGGCAUACCAAGGCGACGAUCCGUAGCUGGUCUGAGAGGCUGAUCAGCCACACUGGAACUGAGACACGGUACAGACUCCUACGGGAGGCAGCAGUGGGGAAUAUUGGACAAUGGGCGCAAGCCUGAUCAAGCCAUACAGCGUGGGUGAAGAAGGCAUUCGGGUUGUAAAGCCCUUUUGUUGGGAAAGAAAAGCAGCAGGUUAAUACCCCGCUGUUCUGACGGUACCCAAAGAAUAAGCACCGGCUAACUUCGUG
rnacentral:rRNA from 1 species